rnacentral:rRNA from 1 species
GAUGAACGCUAGCGGCAGGCCUAACACAUGCAAGUCGAGGGAGAAGCCCUUUCGGGGGCAGAAACCGGCGCACGGGUGCGUAACGCGUAUGCAACCUACCUUUCACAGGGGGAUAGCCCGAAGAUAUUUGGAUUAAUACCCCAUAAUAUUAUUGGAUGGCAUCAUUUGAUAAUUAAAACUGCGGUGGUGAAAGAUGGGCAUGCGUCCUAUUAGCUAGUUGGAGUGGUAACGGCACCCCAAGGCUACGAUAGGUAGGGGUCCUGAGAGGGAGAUCCCCCACACUGGUACUGAGACAGGGACCAGACUCCUACGGGAGGCAGCAGUGAGGAAUAUUGGUCAAUGGUCGGAAGACUGAACCAGCCAUGCCGCGUGCAGGAAGAAUGCCUUAUGGGUUGUAAACUGCUUUUAUAUGGGAAGAAUAAGGCGUACGUGUACGUUGAUGACGGUACCAUAUGAAUAAGCAUCGGCUAACUCCGUG